CCAGACAACUUCAUUGAGCUGAAGUGGUCUGGGUGCCUAUAGUGGUCCUUUAACCGCUUAAGGACCAAACUUCUGGAAUAAAAGGGAAUCAUGACGUCAUGUGUCCUUAAGGGGUUAAGCACCAAAAAAAAAAUACAGCUCAGUGUAGUGGUUUUGGAGCAAGGUGUGUCCCAGUAUCCUCCCAGAGUAAGAUGUCAAACUCUUUUAGAACGGUUUGGCAACUUACCUGGGUCCCACAGCC